GGUUGGUUUAUUUAAUCGACGGGCUCCAUGUUUGUGCAUCGAACCGUCGAUUGAUAAAUCUCUUCAUUGGUUGUUCCAAGAGCUUUCUGAGCCUUGGGCGAUUAUUGGUUUUCUGUGUUGUAUUCCAAUCGAUGGUAUGCUGUCCGAUAAAUUGUUGAUUUUCGCCAGCACUCUUAUGGGUGUUUGGUGGACCUAUGUAGCUAGACUCGUUCUCCGGACACAAUGGCAUGUUUAUGCAGCGUUGUUGUUACGGAGCAUGGUGUUUAGUUGUGCCUUGGGAUGCAGAAAGUUAAGUGGGGGUAAGCGUUUUAAAUCGUUUUGUCCCAAAGUGAGCAUUUUUAUGCUAAAGCAUGAACGACAAUUGGUUGCGAGUUGGACCUCUCUAUAAUGGGAUGGCCCAAGCGUGCUGGUGUCGCUGAAGGAAUGCUACCUGGUUGAUCCUGCCAGUAGUCAUAUGCUUGUCUCAAAGAUUAAGCCAUGCAUGUGUAAGUAUGAACUAAUUCAGACUGUGAAACUGCGAAUGGCUCAUUAA
rnacentral:misc_RNA from 1 species